rnacentral:tRNA from 1 species
GGAGGAGUGGCCGAGUGGUCGAAGGCAGCGGUUUUGAAAACCGCCGAGCUCGCAAGGGCUCCAGGGGUUCGAAUCCCUUCUCCUCCG